rnacentral:rRNA from 1 species
GGCGGCCGCGGGAAUUCGAUUAGAGUUUGAUCAUGGCUCAGAGCGAACGCUGGCGGCAGGCUUAACACAUGCAAGUCGAGCGGUAGAGAGAAGCUUGCUUCUCUUGAGAGCGGCGGACGGGUGAGUAAUGCCUAGGAAUCUGCCUGGUAGUGGGGGAUAACGUUCGGAAACGGACGCUAAUACCGCAUACGUCCUACGGGAGAAAGCAGGGGACCUUCGGGCCUUGCGCUAUCAGAUGAGCCUAGGUCGGAUUAGCUAGUUGGUGGGGUAAUGGCUCACCAAGGCGACGAUCCGUAACUGGUCUGAGAGGAUGAUCAGUCACACUGGAACUGAGACACGGUCCAGACUCCUACGGGAGGCAGCAGUGGGGAAUAUUGGACAAUGGGCGAAAGCCUGAUCCAGCCAUGCCGCGUGUGUGAAGAAGGUCUUCGGAUUGUAAAGCACUUUAAGUUGGGAGGAAGGGCAUUAACCUAAUACGUUAGUGUUUUGACGUUACCGACAGAAUAAGCACCGGCUAACUCUGUGCCAGCAGCCGCGGUAAUACGAAUCACUAGUGAAUUCGCGGCCGCCUG